AUUGAACGCUGGCGUCAUGCCUUACACAUGCAAGUCGAACGGCAGCACGGGAGCAAUCCUGGUGGCGAGUGGCGAACGGGUGAGUAAAGUAUCGGAACGUGCCCAGUCGUGGGGGAUAACGUAGCGAAAGUUACGCUAAUACCGCAUACGAUCUAUGGAUGAAAGCGGGGGAUCGCAAGACCUCGCGCGAUUGGAGCGGCCGAUAUCAGAUUAGGUAGUUGGUGGGGUAAAGGCUCACCAAGCCGACGAUCUGUAGCUGGUCUGAGAGGACGACCAGCCACGCUGGGACUGAGACACGGCCCAGACUCCUACGGGAGGCAGCAGUGGGGAAUUUUGGACAAUGGGCGCAAGCCUGAUCCAGCCAUGCCGCGUGCAGGAUGAAGGCCUUCGGGUUGUAAACUGCUUUUGUACGGAACGAAAAGGUUUGGCUUAAUACGUUGAACUCAUGACGGUACCGUAAGAAUAAGCACCGGCUAACUACGUGCCAGCCGCCGCAGUAA
rnacentral:rRNA from 1 species